UUGACAUCAUGUAGCAAAAGCUCCUGGUCAUUUUCACCAUUCACCUUCCUAAGAGCCCUUUUAUUUAUUUCAUUUGUCACGUACUUUUUGUUUGUUUGUUAUCAUCAGAAGCGUAACAUGAUAGCAUUCAAGGCCGUGGGAUUUUUCUCACACACACAAUUAUGAUAUUGUGGGAAUUUGAACUUGAGACUUAUCGUGUGUUUGGCAAAAGGAAAAAAAGACGGGAUUUGAAAAAAAAAUCGUGAUUUGACCGAUGGAAAAGGGAAAUCCAUGUGUUUGCCAAAAUCUACUAGGGAUUUGGCAAAUCACUUGAGGGAAAUAUGGAGGGAUUUCCCAAUCCAAAAUCCCAAGUUUAAAUCCUAUCAUAAUUGGUGGAAUUGUGCAAAUCUCAAGAGCGGGGGAAAUUCCAUUUGCUGCGCACCAACAAAGACACCUAUAUCAGUUUUCUAACAAGAGUGGGAGAAGAAGGCCAUCUAUCCAAGUUUCGCUGAUUUUGCCAUCUAUCAUCUUUCAGUCUAAGAUUCUGUUUGCUCCAAUAAAGGUUAAUCCAACUUUGGCUGAAGAGUAAAAUGCAGGCGUCUUUUCUUCAACUCGUAAAAGCUGCCAAGUUCAAAGAAUGAAGGGGAUUCUUUAUCUUGUUUUACUCGUUCUUAUGUUGUAUUGACUUUCGAAGGGGAGAC